AUUGAACGCUGGCGGCAGGCCUAACACAUGCAGGUCGAGCGGAUGAAGGGAGCUUGCUCCUGGAUUCAGCGGCGGACGGGUGAGUAAUGCCUAGGAAUCUGCCUGGUAGUGGGGGAUAACGUCCGGAAACGGGCGCUAAUACCGCAUACGUCCUGAGGGAGAAAGUGGGGGAUCUUCGGACCUCACGCUAUCAGAUGAGCCUAGGUCGGAUUAGCUAGUUGGUGGGGUAAAGGCCUACCAAGGCGACGAUCCGUAACCGGUCUGAGAGGAUGAUCAGUCACACUGGAACUGAGACACGGUCCAGACUCCUACGGGAGGCAGCAGUGGGGAAUAUUGGACAAUGGGCGAAAGCCUGAUCCAGCCAUGCCGCGUGUGUGAAGAAGGUCUUCGGAUUGUAAAGCACUUUAAGUUGGGAGGAAGGGCAGUAAGUUAAUACCUUGCUGUUUUGACGUUACCAACAGAAUAAGCACCGGCUAACUUCGUG
rnacentral:rRNA from 1 species